GAGAUAAGAGCCGUGCCCCUUCCCCCUCCUCUUCCUCCUCUUCCCCCGUUUCUUCUCCCUCUUGCUCUCCUCCUCGUGUUCUUCCUCUCUGCCGACCGCUUUUCCCAUCUGCUCUGCAAUUUGAGAUCUAUGAGCCCAUGUGCCUCUUGUUGUCGCCGAUCUUUCCUUUGCUUGCGCGUUGCUAGAUCCUAGCCUGAUGUCUAUAUUCGUCCUCGUGUUCUGCAGGAGGUGGAUCCGCGAUGGCGCACGUCACCUAGGGUUUCGACCUCGAUCUGCUGGGAGAGGAAGCUGCGUUCGCGUUGGGUUUGCCUGCGCUACAGAUCUUCAAGGCUGCUGCUGCUGGGCACAAGCUGGUCCCUGCUUUGCUUCUGAUGCAGCGUGUUCUUGUGAAAAUGGCUGACCUGCUUCUCCCAAACCUUUUGACUGGGAACUGCAGCGAUCGUGUGUGCGUUCGCGUUUCCAGGUUCUGGAACUUCUAUGACACUAAUAAUGAAACAAAACUCCUUCACGCUGACAUGGUCCUCAUUGAUGAGGAGGGUAAUAGCAUCCAUGCUCAGGUCUAUCCUCCUGCUGAUGAAUUGUUCAAGAACCGCGUCAAGGAAGACGGUGUCUACACUUUCUCCUACUUUCGGGUCAGAGCCUCCAACAUCUACUACAAGCCAGUAGAAAAUGACCAGAUGCUUGUGUUCACAAAAUAGACCAAGGUGGAAGAAGUCCUUGCUGUUCCUCCUGCUUUCCCAAUGUAUGCCUACUCAAUUGCCUCACAAGAACAGCUUCAAGCACGUAUUGACAACAGGGCACAGUUUACAGACGUUAUUGGAGUCAUAACUGCCAUUUCAAAUACUGGAACAACACAAACAAAGCUAAGGCAGGGCGACAACACCAAGAGGACCGUCACUAUACAGACACCAAGCAACAUCCUCUUAGAUGUUGUGCUUUGGUUAGAGCGUGCCACAGCUUUCCUAGCAGAUGAAAUACUCAAAGAUGGCCAGACUUCUCCACAGGUUGUGUUGUUUGUUGGUACUCUUGUCAAAAGCUUUGGAGGUAUGUCCUUGUCCGGGAGUUCGUCUUGCAAGUGGUACAUCAAUCCUGACAUUCCUGACACAAAGAAACUUCUAGCUAGGGUAUAAGCCAAUUGCUUGGUCGGAGAGUUCAAGUGCUGCUGUCCAAAAAGAACCUGCUUAGGAAAAAAAGCUCUCUGAGAUUUUAGAUCUCAAUCCAUUUGAGUUCCAGAAAACUGAGUUUAUAGUCACUGUCGCUGUAAAGAAGAUCGGCAGCAACUGGUGGUACAAUGCAUGCAAAAAAUGCAUGAAGACAGCAAAACGCCAUGGUGAUUCCUACAAGUGCACAAAUGCUAAGUGUAACAACAUUGGGAUACCCAAUCUAAGGUUAGUUAUCUGAAUUUGAACUUCUCAUCCUUCUUGAUCAGAUACUUUCUGUUGCCUAUUCUGAUCUUAGCGUCGAUAGGUUCAAGUUAUCCAUACUAGCUAGUGACGACACAAAUGCGGCUGAGUUCAUUCUGCUUGGGAGGCAAGCUCAGCGACUGACAAGAAAAUCGGCUGAUACCCUUGUGGCUGAAAACCCAACUGACUUCAUUUCAGAUGAGAUUACAAGGCUGCUUGAGAAGACGUUCACAUGGAUAGUCAGUUUUACUGAUAGCACCACAGAUUCUGGCACCAUAACACUCCAAGUCAACACAGUGGUUGGAGAAGUCGGUCAAGGAGGCUCUAUCAUUCCAGCCAUGCCAACCACAUCCCAAAUAUCCUCACUCAUGCUGUCAGAAGGUGCCACCACCAGCGUGCAUGGCGCUUCUCACCAGGGCGCUUCUCACCAGAACCAGGCUCUUCCUAUGUCACCACUUGCUGCGUGCUCUGUUGAUAGCCAUGUCUCCAAUGCCUCCCCGGUCAGGCCUGUCUUACCUGCAUCUGAUGCGCCACAGACUCCACAGAGUGUGAAGAGCACAGCUAAUUACAAGGACAAGUCUGAAAAUCCUGCUGUGAAGCCUUCUAAGAGUGCUCUGGUGCCACAGAAGACAUCCACUAG